AGUCCCGUGGUGUAGCGGUCUAGCAUCAUAGCCUUUGGAGCUAUGGACCCAGGUCCGAAUCCUGGCGGGACUA
rnacentral:tRNA from 1 species